GGCACGCAGUCAGAGCUUUAUUUUCUAAUGCCUCCCGGACCCUGAAUCGCCUUUUUUAAAUCUCUUGAGGUACCCGCUAGGCAGUGGGAGGUCAGGCCACGGGGUCCUCCCGGCCUCGCAUCUCUGACUGCUGCACUCUUCCUCCCCUGGGCCUCCCUCUGCCCGGCUCUGAAGUGGACGUGCUGGUGGAGAGUGACUCCGGGCCGCCGGCCCCUGACCCUCCGCUCCAGCUGCCACGUCUGUCUCGGGCUUGGCCAGUUCCAACCUUGGCCGUCCACAGCCGGGGCCUGGGGUCCGCCGGGGUGAAGGGGGUCCCCCGAGCUCCCGUGCACAGGAUGGUUUUCAGUGACUUUUUCUUCCCUGCUUUGCAGAUGUGCGUUUCUCUCCUGUCUUCCAGUGCUUCCUCAGGGGCCGCUGUGCAUCCUCCCUGUGUCCCAGAGUCUCUGGUCCACGUGCCUGAGUCGUCGGCUCCACACCGCCCUGGGGUCUCCCUUCCCCACGUGGCCCGGGAUACGACAUCUGCCCUGCUCCCUCAGCAUCCCUCCUCCCGCAGGGGAAGCCUCUUCCCUCCCUGGGCAGCCGGGGAGAAGGAACGAGCGUUUCCAGCCAAACCCCGGGCUGGCUUCCAGGGCGGGGGCAGGGAGCGGGCCCUCGUCCGCCACUUUAAGGAACUGGCAGUUGCCGGUUUAGAACCUUCCCUGUUCCGCCCACAGUUGGUUUGCAGGUUGGAGGCUGGCAGUUGGCCCGAGAGAAGACCUUGAAGAAGGAGAAGCUUCUUUUCAGGGGAAAAUGGGAGUUUGGGGGGGACGGGGCUGAAAAGGGCUGGGAAAGGGUCCCCAGAGGAGCCGCCCCUGGGCUGCCGGAGGGGCUCCAGGCUCACAUGUCUAACUCGCCAAGCAACUUUUUCGUUGGAGAGCUUCUUUUCAGUUUCUUUUGGAAUCUGAGUUACUUCAGUCAAGUCACUCAGUUUAGCCUGAAAAGGGCCCCGAGGAGUCGAGUCCGGCCGCUGACUGCCCGGAGAAUGGCAGGGGAGAAGCCGGGGGGCCGAGGGGCCCCGGUGAGCCGGAGCCGGCCCAGCCUCCCGUCCGGGGCCAUGUUGGAAGUACGCAGGAACCUUCCACUUGUUCCUCCAGCCUCAAGCUCUGCCACAGGCCAGCCCCGUCUCACAGCCUCCGGUCAAUGGGACGCAGCCUCUUGCUAGUCUUAAUCUAGAAAUGGGAGACAGCAAGGAAAACUGCAAACAUUUAAGCAAAAGGUCUAGAAGGGACCUCCUCUCCUCCCCCCUCCCAGUUUACAGGUAGUUGGAGACACCUAAAUUCACCGUAUUGCUGGAAUGUCGUGUCCUGGUGCCUUGGGCUGGAUAUGAGGAAUUCAGAGAAGCUUCGGAGGACCUGGAUGAGGCCGCGGGAGCUCCUCCAUUAAGAAGUGUUGAGAAUGAUCUACGGCCCCGAGUUCUCCGAUUCUCAUGUAAUUUCCUCACCCACAUCCGGGAGUGACAUUCCGUGUACCCUGGCAAAGCCAAACAAUAAAUUUUGAUUGACAUCGGUUGCUCCUUAAUUGGGAAUGUGAAAGCCUACUAGGAAGGAAGCCAAAAGACCAGUUGCAUAUGACUUGACUUGCCAUUUAUGAUGUUUACUCCGCAAGCUGCUUCCAGAUAGAAGUUUCUCCAUUUAAUCUGACCAAAGGAAGCAACCCCUCACACCUUUCACAGAUAGAUUGGUGUGUGAAAAGCUGAAGUAAGGGGAGUACAGACCAAGGGAUCACAUAAAGGAAAAAAAGUCCAAAUCCUGGAUAACAUGCAGCAUCAGCAACUAAUUUGGAGGAGUCCCCAGCACAGUUGAACUUCUGCACAAGAGGAGAGGAGCUUUUAUCACACAGCUACCCCUUUCUUCACCAAUGGCUGAAUCUUGGAAAUUGGUUAUCCUGGAACAGUAACAAAGCUACUGGUGAUUGUAGCUCCAGCUCAGCCUUAGUGGGUCUCCUGUGUUCAUGUCUUUUGAGGAAAGGUUACAGUGGCAAUGAACCUUCCCAGAGGAUUGAGAUGGGACAGAGAUAUUGCUACUUACUCCACACUAGAAAGUAUUUCCUUCUUC